CAAUGGGAUGGGCCCUACUUUUCAACUAGCAGUAGCCUCGGUUACAAAACCAUCAUCAGAGAACAUGAAUGAUGUGUCCUCCCUAUCUUUUCAAAAUAAAAAAAUAUUGCUUUUGCCCACAUCCCUGAAAGAAUAGAAGAGAUGGGAAGAGAGAGAAAGCUUUUUGUCUUCCUCAAUCUCCUCUGCCUUCUAGUGCAAGCGUUUGCUCUCUCCUCUGAUGACC
rnacentral:lncRNA from 1 species